UGGGGAAUAUUGCACAAUGGGGGGAACCCUGAUGCAGCGACGCCGCGUGAGGGAAGAAGGUUUUCGGAUUGUAAACCUCUGUCCUCUGUGACGAUAAUGACGGUAGCAGAGGAGGAAGCCACGGCUAACUACGUGCCAGCAGCCGCGGUAAUACGUAGGUGGCGAGCGUUAUCCGGAAUUACUGGGUGUAAAGGGAGCGUAGGCGGGGGAACAAGUUGAAUGUUUAAGAUAUGGGCUCAACUCAUAUAAGCGUUCAAAACUGUUUUUCUUGAGUGAAGUAGAGGUAAGCGGAAUUCCUAGUGU
rnacentral:rRNA from 1 species